CCACACACGAGGUUUUCUUACCUUGGCCAUUGUGUCCCUGCUUUCUCUGAACAUCCAUACCCUGAAGCUCCUGCUCUACAGUGGACACCCCUCAACCACCUAUCUCCUAGCUGCUGUACCACUGCAGUUAACUGCUGUAUGAAGCUACUCCAGUGAAUACUGCUAAGCAUAUUUCACAUGAAUCCAAGGGGAACAUCUGCAUGGUACAUCAUAACUAGAAAAGAAGUUCUGAGACAGUCAUCCAGCUACUUCUGGACAGCUUGCAGCUGCCCCACGCCUGGAGUUAGGCAUAUCUCAUGUUCUCUCACCUUUUCAACAUGAAAUAGCAUCAGCUAGAGAAGUGAGAAAGGCUUCACCAGAGAACGGUGAGAAUCAGCUGUGACAGAGCUCUGCAGCUUGUACUACUGGUCAGAGCAAAAGGAGAACCAAAGAAAGAGACAAAGUGAAGCAUCCUUGUGCUUAAGGAAGAGUCACACUAUUCUAAAUAGAUGCAGACAAGACACAUUGCUCAGCGCCAUCAGCAAGAUGAAAGAAAGCUGGCAGACAGACUCAUGUCUAAGAUUUUCAUGCCUUACAAGAUUUGUUAUUUUGAGUCUGCUGGGUUAUUUUCUGGAGUUCUGCACUUCAUGGAUUCCAGCCAGGUCUGUGUCCCCAGCUGAGAACUCCAGCAGUUUGCAGAGAAAGCCUGGCACUGUUUAUGUGUCUUCUUGUCUCCUAAUUGCAUCUGGAUGUCCAGAAGAAAAUAACACAGGGAGAACUGGAUGUCAGUGGGACAAACUUUCUCAAGAAGCAUUUUGAAUUGCCUUGUUGCCAUUCAUGAAUCUUCUGAAAUGUCUGCCGAAUGCCUGACACUGAAGUGAUAUAAGACCUGCAUUAGAAGAGCUUCAUCUGAGUGUAAUAUGCUGCCCUGGGAGGGUGAGUGCUCAAUGAGGAUUCUGAAGGAUUAAGGUCUUCAUGUGUGGUGCAAACAUUUGAAGCAAAUGCAACAGAAUUGCCCCGAGUCUGCUCAAGAGCCCAUCGCUGCUUCCUAUGUGGUCACACUACAAAGUCAAACUAAUAAUAAUGUAUGGUUGGUUACCCUUCUGAAAAUAACUGCAAGUAUUGAGUGCUGUCAUCAUGGAGAACCCAGACCUCCUGAAGUAAGAGGGAAAAUUGAAUUGACUCGCAGGAGGCCAGAAUGCCACCCACAGAGGUGCUUGAUUGCCAGAAAAUGCUGAGUUCCUGCUACCUGGAAUCAUUGGUGUCUGAUAUCCAGCAUCGUACUGAAAGUGCUAGUUUUCAUCUAGUAACUGAUGGGAGUAAUGCUCUGAGAAAUACCUGAGCCACUGCUUUUCCAGGCUCCCAGAGAGGUGGUGGAGUCCCUGUCCCUGGAUGUGUUCAGGAACUGUGGAGGGACAUGUUUCAGAGAAGAGGCAUAUAGCUGGUGAAGUUGCAGAUAGAGUCUGAAGUAUAUUGAAAACAUUAUUAAAUCUCAAGCACUUUUGAAGCUCUAUAUUUGUCAUAAAUUAUGUGAUGAAUGAUGCACAGAGCCUUGCUGCCCAGAGAAAACUCUGACGUGAAGUAAGUAUACCUUGCAAGCAUUCAGCCCAGCAGUAUUGUUGGGAGACCCUCAUGGAGUGCGUAUGUGUGCUGAGCAGAGAGCACUGAGAAGAAAUAAAUGUAGUUCAGCUUUUUAUUAAGGAAACAAGUAUUUUAAUAUUAUUCCCAUAUAUGGGCCUGAUAACCAGAAGACUUUCUUAUCAAUUUUAUCAGUAUCACAAGAAUCAGCCAAACUUUGCUUACAGAUUGCAGUAAUGCCCUCAGCUUGCAUACUGAGCCUUUGAUGGGAUACGGUCAUUUUAUACACAUUCCCUACUUAUGCUUUGGCCUUUACUACUUCCCUGCAAGCUGGUUUUGAGAGAUGUAUCCUUGAGCCUUCCUUGUGUCUUAUGGCUGGGAGCAGACUGGCCCUGCAGCACUUGAUCUGCAGAAAAGGCUGCAAAGGUAAAACCAGUCUGAGCCUCUUGCUUCAAAAGCAGCACAGUGUAAAUGCCACAGCUAUUGUAUGCCUCAUCCAAAGACAGACUGUGAAAUAUGGAUCCUUCACAUUCAAUGAUGGAAUCACUCCUUAAAAAUAAGCAUUUGUAAUUAGCUUUUUUUAAUAACAACCUCACUUGUAUAAGGGCUGCUCCAAAAGUAAUUCCUCCUAUUUUAUGGUGUUGGCCCACAACAUCAGAGUUGGUGGUAUGGCUGCAGAGGUUGAACCUUCUCACCUGUAUUCCCUUACAUUUAGUUGUCAUGUGACAGAUGGCAGCAGGGGGCACUCUGACAGAAUAGUGUCUGACAUGAAAGUGCAUAUGAAGCAAAGGUGUGUCAUUGAACUCCUCCGUUUGGAAAAAAUGGCACCCACUGAC